rnacentral:rRNA from 1 species
UCGAGAAUCUUGGGCAAUGCGCGAAAGCGUGACCCAGCAAUGCCGCGUGCAUGAUGAAGGCCCUCGGGUCGUAAAAUGCUGUCUCCCGUGACGAAUAAUGACGGUAGCGGGGAAGGAAGCCACGGCUAACUACGUGCCAGCAGCCGCGGUAAUACGUAGGUGGCAAGCGUUGUCCGGAAUUACUGGGUGUAAAGGGUGCGCAGGCGGGAUUGCAAGUUGGAUGUGAAAUACCGGGGCUUAACCCCGGAGCUGCAUCCAAAACUGUAGUUCUUGAGUGGAGUAGAGGUAAGCGGAAUUCCGAGUGUAGCGGUGAAAUGCGUAGAUAUUCGGAGGAACACCAGUGGCGAAGGCGGCUUACUGGGCUCUAACUGACGCUGAGGCACGAAAGCAUGGGUAGCAAACAGGAUUAGAUACCCUGGUAGUCCAUGCUGUAAACGAUGAAUGCUAGGUGUGGGGGGACUGACCCCUUCCGUGCCGGAGUAAACACAAUAAGCAUUCCACCUGGGGAGUACGACCGCAAGGUUGAAACUCAAAGGAAUUGACGGGGGCCCGCACAAGCAGUGGAGUAUGUGGUUUAAUUCGAAGCAACGCGAAGAACCUUACCAGGUCUUGACAUCCGGCUAACGAAGUAGAGAUACAUUAGGUGCCCUUCGGGGAAAGCCGAGACAGGUGGUGCAUGGUUGUCGUCAGCUCGUGUCGUGAGAUGUUGGGUUAAGUCCCGCAACGAGCGCAACCCCUGCCGAUAGUUGCUACGCAAGAGCACUCUAUCGGGACCGCUACCGACAAGGUGGAGGAAGGUGGGGACGACGUCAAAUCAUCAUGCCCCUUAUGACCUGGGCUACACACGUACUACAAUGGCCGUUAACAGAGGGAAGCAACACCGCGAGGUAGAGCAAAACCCUAAAAACGGUCCCAGUUCAGAUUGUAGGCUGCAACUCGCCUAUAUGAAGUUGGAAUUGCUAGUAAUCGCGGAUCAGCAUGCCGCGGUGAAUACGUUCCC